AUGAGGUUCUCUGCUCAUCUCCUGGGGCUGUUGAUGGUCUGGAUUCCAGGAACCAGUGGGGAUGUUGUGCUGACCCAGAAUCCACUAUCCCUACCCAUUGUUCUGGGAGAACCCAUCUCCAUCUCCUGCAGGUCUAGCCAGAGCCUAAUACAUAGUGACAAAAACACCUAUCUGAACUGGAUUCAUCAGAAGCCAGGCCAGCAUCCAAGGGGCUUGAUCUAUAGAGUUUCUAAACUACACUCAGGGGUCCCAGACAGGUUCAGUGGCAGUGGGUCACAGACAGAUUUUACAUUGAAAAUCAGCAAGGUGGAAUCAGAGGAUCUGGGAGUUUAUUACUGUAUGCAAGAUACACAUGCACCUCCCACAGUGAUACAGCCCUGA